rnacentral:misc_RNA from 1 species
AAAAUAUCUAUCAACAGAAAAAUAAGAGUCUGCAUUUUUAUCUGAAAAAUGCAGAGGAGAUCCAAAAUGGGAUUGUUGAUGAGAAAUUUUCUAGUUUUAUUUUGUUGGAUGAUUUUAGCUGUAAAUGCAGAAGAAUACGUUACAUAUAAAGAUCCAAACAAGCCCUUAAACAGAAGAAUCAAAGAUUUAAUGAAAAGAAUGAGUUUGGAGGAAAAAAUUGGGCAAAUGAUACAAAUUGAUCGUACUGCUGCAACUCCAGAGGUUAUGAACAAGUACUACCUAGGGAGUGUGUUGAGUGGUGGAGGAAGUGUGCCAAAGAAAGAAGCAUCAGCAGAAGAUUGGAUUGAUAUGAUAAAUGGUUUUCAAAAAGGUUCAUUAUCAACUAGACUUGGGAUACCUAUGAUUUAUGGAAUUGAUGCUGUUCAUGGCAACAAUAAUGUCUAUAAAGCUACAAUUUUUCCUCAUAAUGUUGCUCUUGGAGUAACAAGGGAUCCUCAAUUGGUGAAGAAGAUUGGAUCUGCAACUGCAUUAGAAGCUAGAGCUACUGGAAUUCCAUAUGUUUUUGCUCCUUGUCUUGCGGUUUGUAGAGAUCCAAGAUGG